rnacentral:rRNA from 1 species
GAAACGACUGCUAAGACUGGAUAGGAAGUUUUAAGGCAUCUUGAAACUUUUAAAAGACCCGCAAGGGUAUGCUAAGAGAUGGGCUUGCGGCACAUUAGUUAGUUGGUAAGGUAACGGCUUACCAAGACUAUGAUGUGUAGCUGGACUGAGAGGUUGAACGGCCACAUUGGGAUUGAGAUACGGCCCAAACUCCUACGGGAGGCAGCAGUAAGGAAUUUUCGGCAAUGGAGGAAACUCUGACCGAGCAACGCCGCGUGAACGAUGAAAUAUUUAGGUAUGUAAAGUUCUUUUAUUAAAGAAGAAAAAAUGAUGGAAAAAUCAUUCUGACGGUAUUUAAUGAAUAAGCCCCGGCUAACUAUGUGCCAGCAGCUGCGGUAAUACAUGGGGGGCAAGCGUUAUCCGGAUUUAUUGGGCGUAAAGGGUGUGUAGGCGGUUUAAUAAGUCUAUGGUAUAAGUUCAACGCUUAACGUUGUGAUGCUAUGGAAACUGUUUGACUAGAGUUGGAUAGAGGCAAGUGGAAUUCCAUGUGUAGCGGUAAAAUGCGUAAAUAUAUGGAGGAACACCAGUAGCGAAGGCGGCUUGCUGGGUCUUAACUGACGCUGAGGCACGAAAGCGUGGGGAGCAAACAGGAUUAGAUACCCUGGUAGUCCACGCCGUAAACGAUGAGUACUAAGUGUUGGGUUAAACCAGUGCUGAAGUUAACACAUUAAGUACUCCGCCUGAGUAGUACGUACGCAAGUAUGAAACUUAAAGGAAUUGACGGGACUCCGCACAAGCGGUGGAUCAUGUUGUUUAAUUCGAAGAUACACGAAAAACCUUACCAGGUCUUGACAUACUUUGCAAAGCUAUAGAAAUAUAGUGGAGGUUAUCAGGGAUACAGGUGGUGCAUGGUUGUCGUCAGCUCGUGUCGUGAGAUGUUGGGUUAAGUCCCGCAACGAGCGCAACCCUUAUCGCUAGUUACCAUCAUUUAGUUGGGCACUUUAGUGAGACUGCCAAUGAUAAAUUGGAGGAAGGUGGGGAUUACGUCAAAUCAUCAUGCCCCUUAUGACCUGGGCUACAAACGUGAUACAAUGGCUGUUACAAAGAGUAGCUGAAGCGUGAGUUUUUAGCAAAUCUCAAAAAAACAGUCUCAGUUCGGAUUGAAGUCUGCAACUCGACUUCAUGAAGUCGGAAUCGCUAGUAAUCGCGAAUCAGCAUGUCGUGGUGAAUACGUUCUCGGGGUUUGUACACACCGCCCGUCA